AUGCAGGUCGCGCGACAAGGUUGCUAUAGCAAUAUAGUGGCUGGAGGAGCGGCGAAAGGGUGAGGAACACAUGGAUACCUACCCUCGGGUUUGGGAUAGCGGCUGGAAACGGCCGGUAAUACCGAAUAACAUCUCCGGCACAAAGCUCCGGCGCCCGAGGACGGGUCCGCGUCCCAUUAGCUAGUUGGCGGGGGAAUAGCCCACCAAGGCAAAGAUGGGUAGUGGGCGUGAGAGCGCGACCCACCACACUGGGACUGAGACACGGCCCAGACUCCUACGGGAGGCAGCAGUGGGGAAUAUUGGACAAUGGGCGCAAGCCUGAUCCAGCCAUGCCGCGUGAGUGAUGAAGGCCCUAGGGUUGUAAAGCUCUUUCACCGGUGAAGAUAAUGACGGUAACCGGAGAAGAAGCCCCGGCUAACUUCGUGCCAGCAGCCGCGGUAACAC
rnacentral:rRNA from 1 species